rnacentral:lncRNA from 1 species
GCCCAGCCUCAGGGUUUGUUGAGAGAGGGAAGACCCAGAGGGCAAGGGUAAAGAUUGACCCAGAGACUCAGAGGGUAACAGAGCUGUCCUGGGCUCAGGGAGCUGCAGGUGGGCUCUGCAGGGCAUUGACCGUGUGCUUGUGCACCUCUGGGUGUGUGUGUGCUUUCCUUUGUAUGUAAUUAGUUGUAAAUGCACAUAUUGGUAUGUGUGUGUAGCAGGUGUCCACACUGUCUGGGUGUAUGUGACCCUACAGAGUAUUUUUUCUCCAGAAGUCUCCUCCCUAGCUCAUCGAAUUGAAGCCCACACACUAAAAACGGGAGGCUGUGGUUUUGAUUCUGGCUGUCCCCUAGUCCCUGCCUAUCAGGCUACACGUGGGGACUGCAGGCCCCGUGGGUGGCUGAGGAAAUGAGUGGGUGAGUGGGCCUCGUUGUGGGUACUCCGCUGCCUCUGCCAAGCUCCCUAGCCUCCUCCCCCUCCCCCUUCAAUUCAACAAGGCUCUCACUUGCAUUAUUCCGUGAAGCCUUAUGAGAAACCUGUACAGACACUAGCAUUAAAGAGCCAAAGAUUGCCAGAGCCGAAAGAGAUCUUAGAGAUACAUAGUCCUACUUCCUACUACAGAGGAGGAAACUCUAAAGCACAGAGAGGUGAAGUGACUUGCCCAAGGUCACACAGCCAGUUGCUGGUAUUCUCCUUUAUUCAUGGACGAGCAUUUGUUUGCAUUCCUGCUAUGCAUCUGGAACUGUGCCAGGUGCUGGAGAAGAUGCCAGGAAGCCUAACUCAGCAAGUGCCACUUCAGAGGGCUCCAUGUGCGAGGAACUGAGAGUGGUCUCCAGUUGACAGACAGUGUUGGCCCUCAGUCUAACAAUCUGCAAAGAAGUGAAUUCCACUAGCAACCACAUCAGUGAGCUUGGAAGUGGAUUCUUCCACAGUCGAGCCUCAGAUGAGAGCCCAGCCUUGACCAACACCUUGACUGCAGCCUUGAAAGCGACCCUGAAGCAGAGAACCCAGCUAAGCUGUGCUCUGAUUCCUGACUCUCAGAAUAUAUGAGAUAAUAAAUGCAUGUUGCUUAAAAGUGCUGAGUUUGUGCUAAUUUGUUACAGGACAACAGGAAAUAAAUACACUUGCUGUCACUUACGUGUGAACAAAAGGAGGUGAGCUCUUUCUGCUGUAAGCAGGGGCAUAUAACAAACAGAUGUGCACCAACCUCAGCACAAACCUCAGGACCGCCUCAUCUUACUGGCCUUACCUGUACAUUUCCCACCAUGCCAACUUCUCUCUCACUCCCUGUACCUAUAUUUUCUCUGCUUAGAAUGAGUAUCUGUCCCCUUUUCUUGGCCUGUGAAGUCCCUUUUAUCCAUCCUGGACUGCCUGAAAUGACACUCCCUCCAAGAAGCCCUCUGAGAUUGACCCUUCCUAUGGGAUCUCAUAGCUCACUAAGUAUCCCUCCACCCUGAACCAGCUACAGGAUCUUGUGGCUCCCUGCCCUGAGGUCUCACUCACCACUCAAUGCCCCACACCUCAUUGUAUUCAUCAUUUUAUACCCAGGGCCUAUUAAGUAUACGAUGCAAUAACUAUGCACUGAAUGUGUGAAUAGUUCAGCCUCACAUACCUCCUCUACCAGGAACAUCACAGCCUGCAAGGGAGCUGUGUGACCAUCCUGAGGGGAAGGCAAGGCCUUGCUGUCACCAUGGUGGCCUGCUUUAAGAGUCUU